UCUCGCAUCGAUGAAGAACGUAGCGAACUGCGAUACUUGGUGUGAAUUGCAGAAUCCCGUGAACCAUCGAGUCUUUGAACGCAAGUUGCGCCCACAACCAUUCGGUGAGGGCACGUUUGCCUGGGUGUCACACAU
rnacentral:rRNA from 1 species